AGAGUUUGUUUUUGGCUCAGGACGAACGCUGGCGGCGUGCCUAAUACAUGCAAGUCGUACGCUUCUUUUUCCACCGGAGCUUGCUCCACCGGAAAAAGAGGAGUGGCGAACGGGUGAGUAACACGUGGGUAACCUACCCAUCAGAAGGGGAUAACACUUGGAAACAGGUGCUAAUACCGUAUAACAAUCGAAACCGCAUGGUUUUGAUUUGAAAGGCGCUUUCGGGUGUCGCUGAUGGAUGGACCCGCGGUGCAUUAGCUAGUUGGUGAGGUAACGGCUCACCAAGGCCACGAUGCAUAGCCGACCUGAGAGGGUGAUCGGCCACAUUGGGACUGAGACACGGCCCAAACUCCUACGGGAGGCAGUAGGGAAUCUUCGGCAAUGGACGAAAGUCUGACCGAGCAACGCCGCGUGAGUGAAGAAGGUUUUCGGAUCGUAAAACUCUGUUGUUAGAGAAGAACAAGGAUGAGAGUAACUGUUCAUCCCUUGACGGUAUCUAACCAGAAAGCCACGGCUAACUACGUGCCAGCAGCCGCGGUAAUACGUAGGUGGCAAGCGUUGUCCGGAUUUAUUGGGCGUAAAGCGAGCGCAGGCGGUUUCUUAAGUCUGAUGUGAAAGCCCCCGGCUCAACCGGGGAGGGUCAUUGGAAACUGGGAGACUUGAGUGCAGAAGAGGAGAGUGGAAUUCCAUGUGUAGCGGUGAAAUGCGUAGAUAUAUGGAGGAACACCAGUGGCGAAGGCGGCUCUCUGGUCUGUAACUGACGCUGAGGCUCGAAAGCGUGGGGAGCAAACAGGAUUAGAUACCCUGGUAGUCCACGCCGUAAGCGAUG
rnacentral:rRNA from 1 species